UGUUGUUUUACUCGGAAAAUGUCUGCACCUGGUAGAAGUCGAGUAAACUACUCUUUGUCUCGCCGGUGUGUUAAUUGCUCUUUACGUAUAGCGCCUAAUCUGCGUAGACGUUAAAUUGAAGAAAUAGAUGAACCAAUGCUUAUCCUUCUAAGAUCCUGGGUAACACCUACAUUGAUAUCUUCUGAUGAUAUCCUGUGUGUGAAAUGUUUUGUAUUAUUACAAAACCAGACAGCAUCUAACUCAAAUCUGUCACUUGUAUCCCCUGCUCGUGGACACCUAAACAUAUGCUACGCAUGUGGCUUGUCAAUAGCAAGUCGCAGAACUCAUAGAGUCAGUCAAGAUAGUUCCUCAAAGGAAUGUUAUACUAAGAUGGACACCAGCACAUCACGUGUUGCAUUUGGAACGAGUUUGUGUUCCUUGUUGGCG